rnacentral:lncRNA from 1 species
AUGGAGUUCAGGGUAGUAUGGAUCCCCCAUGGUCAUUUUUGUGGUAUGCAGACCUCUCGACUUUCCUGUUGUGGUGCACGACUCACUCCACGUGCCAGUUUACAAGAUGCAAUAACUUUCCUUGAAGACCGCCUGCUUUGGAUCCCACGUGAAAAUACCAUUAAGCCUUCGGAGAAUGUGUUUGGGGAUGGCAAUCGAUUUGGGACCAGUUUACGGCUGUUGCAGAGUUCUGAAAGGCCUGUUGCACCCCCCUGCCCCUUACUGAGAAAGCAAGGCUGAGGGAAAUUCCAUCUGUGUCAUUCCUUCUUUAUUAAAUAAAAUACAAAUAGGAAGCA